rnacentral:rRNA from 1 species
GAGAUGUUGGGUUAAGUCCCGUAACGAGCGCAACCCCUAUCCCUAGUUGCUAGCAGUUCGGCUGAGAACUCUAGGGAGACUGCCGGUGUCAAACCGGAGGAAGGUGGGGAUGACGUCAGGUCAUCAUGGCCCUUACGGCCAGGGCUACACACGUGCUACAAUGGUGCGUACAGAGGGCUGCAAACCCGCGAGGGGGAGCUAAUCUCACAAAACGCAUCGUAGUCCGGAUCGGAGUCUGCAACUCGACUCCGUGAAGUCGGAAUCGCUAGUAAUCGCGGAUCAGAAUGCCGCGGUGAAUACGUUCCCGGGCCUUGUACACACCGCCCGUCACAUCAUGGGAAUUGGUUCUACCCGAAGACGCUGUGCUAACUUCGGAGGCAGGCGGCCACGGUAGGAUCAGUGACUGGGAUGAAGUCGUAACAAGGUAGCCGUAG